rnacentral:rRNA from 1 species
GACGAACGCUGGCGGCGUGCUUAACACAUGCAAGUCGAACGGAAAGGCCCUGCUUUUGUGGGGUGCUCGAGUGGCGAACGGGUGAGUAACACGUGAGUAACCUGCCCUUGACUUUGGGAUAACUUCAGGAAACUGGGGCUAAUACCGGAUAGGAGCUCCUGCUGCAUGGUGGGGGUUGGAAAGUUUCGGCGGUUGGGGAUGGACUCGCGGCUUAUCAGCUUGUUGGUGGGGUAGUGGCUUACCAAGGCUUUGACGGGUAGCCGGCCUGAGAGGGUGACCGGCCACAAUGGGACUGAGAUACGGCCCAGACUCCUACGGGAGGCAGCAGUGGGGAAUAUUGCACAAUGGGCGGAAGCCUGAUGCAGCAACGCCGCGUGCGGGAUGACGGCCUUCGGGUUGUAAACCGCUUUCGCCUGUGACGAAGCGUGAGUGACGGUAAUGAGUAAAGAAGCACCGGCUAACUACGUG